GUGCUUCAGGGGGCUCGUGUUCUUAAAAUGGAAUGGCAUAGAGAUGACUGAGCACGAUCCCUGCAUGAGGAUGACACACAAACUCAUGAAGCGUUCCAACACAUU
rnacentral:snRNA from 1 species